rnacentral:lncRNA from 1 species
CCCCGCCACCCAGUGUCAUGGCCCCACACCAGAACGAGAGCUAGGACCAGGGCGUGGGCAGGAGUCUGGGCUAGGCCUGAGCCUGAGCCUGUGCUGGCCGUAGGCGUAUGCCUCAGCCCUGGAGUGCCACCAGCAAACAGGUGACAGGGUGGAGGCAUGAUGUUCUGCAAAGUCAUCUGGGCACCAGGAAGAGAAGCCAGCAGUAGAGCAGGCAAAGGAAGAAGCAGAGCAGCAGGAAGAUGAGUUCAUAGUGCAGAUCACAGAUGUCAGAACAAUAAGUCAAUAUCAGUUCAACAACUGGAGUGAAGAUUUCGAAUAUGAGGAAGAGAAAGAAGCAGAAGAAAAACUAAAAACACUAAACAAGGAGUUGAAGGAUCUGAAAAGGACCUGGACCCAGCAGAUGGCAGCUCUUGAAACCCCAGGUUUAAGAAUAAAAAGAAGAUGAAAAAGAAGAAAGAAUCUGUUGUUCACUCUUUUUGAACUUAUCAGAAGCCCGUGGGAAAUUUUAAUACUGAUAACAUUUCAAAGUGCAUUGCCCCAAAAGUUAGCUAAAUAAUAUUCCCAAGUUCAUUACCCAAAAGUGAUGUCCAAUGACAACUGCUUUUUCUAUUAUACAUUAUAAGUAUACUUAACAAUGUUUAAUAAAGCUAAAGAA